rnacentral:rRNA from 1 species
ACAUGCCGCGUGUGUGAAGAACGCCUUCGGUUUGUAAAGCUCUUUCGGACGGGAAGAAAUUGCAUUGGCUAAUAUCCAGUGCGGAUGACGGUACCGUAAUAAGAAGCACCGGCUAACUACGUGCCAGCAGCCGCGGUAAUACGUAGGGUGCGAGCGUUAAUCGGAAUUACUGGGCGUAAAGCGUGCGCAGGCGGUUUUUCAAGAUAGGCGUGAAAUCCCCGGGCUUAACCUGGGAACUGCGCUUAUGACUGGAAGACUAGAGUACGGCAGAGGGGGGUGGAAUUCCACGUGUAGCAGUGAAAUGCGUAGAGAUGUGGAGGAACACCGAUGGCGAAGGGCAGCCCCUGGGCCGAUACUGACGCUCAUGCACGAAAGCGUGGGGAGCAAACAGGAUUAGAUAACCUGGUAAUCCACGCCCCUAAACGAUGUCAACUAGGUGUAGGGUGGGUUAAACCAUUUAGUACCGUAGCUAACGCGUGAAGUUGAACGACUGGGGAGUACGGCCGCCAGGUUAACCCUCAACGGAAUUGACGGGGACCCGGCCCAAGCGGUGGAUGACU